rnacentral:rRNA from 1 species
GAUGAACGCUAGCGGCAGGCUUAACACAUGCAAGUCGAGGGGUAUAGGGAGCAACCCCUUGAGAGUGGCGAACGGGUGAGUAAUAUAUCGGAACGUGCCCAGUCGUGGGGAUAACGUAGCGAAAGUUACGCUAAUACCGCAUACGAUCUAAGGAUGAAAGCGGGGGAUCGCAAGACCUCGCGCGAUUGGAGCGGCCGAUAUCAGAUUAGGUAGUUGGUGAGGUAAAGGCUCACCAAGCCGACGAUCUGUAGCUGGUCUGAGAGGACGACCAGCCACACUGGGACUGAGACACGGCCCAGACUCCUACGGGAGGCAGCAGUGGGGAAUUUUUGGACAAUGGGCGCAAGCCUGAUCCAGCAAUGCCGCGUGCAGGAUGAAGGCC